rnacentral:rRNA from 1 species
GACGAACGCUGGCGGCAUGCCUAACACAUGCAAGUCGAACGAAACGUCCCGGUCUAUGGGCGCACGUGUGCUUGCCGCGGGGGAAGCUACCCUUAAGUUCGCAAUCCCUCCCCGAAAGGGGUGCUAAUACCAGUUAAUCUCUUCGGACCAAAGAUUUAUCGCCUUUGGAUGGGCCCGCGUUGGAUUCGCUAGUUGGUAGGGUAAAAGCCUACCAAGGCGACGAUCCAUAGCUGGUCUGGGAGCAUGAUCAGCCACACUGGGGCUGAGGCACGGCCGAGACCGCUACGGAGGGGAGCAGAGGGGAAUAUUGGAGGAGGGGCGAAGGCCUGAUACAGCAAUGCGGGGGGAGUGAUGAAGGGCGUAGGGUUGUAAAGUUCUUUUACCCGGGAUGAUAAUGACGGUACCGGGUGAAGAAGCUCCGGCUAACUCCGUG